UGGGGAAUUUUGGACAAUGGGCGAAAGCCUGAUCCAGCAAUGCCGCGUGUGUGAAGAAGGCCUUCGGGUUGUAAAGCACUUUUGUCCGGAAAGAAAUCCUUGGCUCUAAUACAGUCGGGGGAUGACGGUACCGGAAGAAUAAGCACCGGCUAACUACGUGCCAGCAGCCGCGGUAAUACGUAGGGUGCAAGCGUUAACCGGAAUUACUGGGCGUAAAGCGUGCGCAGGCGGUUUGCUAAGACCGAUGUGAAAUCCCCGGGCUCAACCUGGGAACUGCAUUGGUGACUGGCAGGCUAGAGUAUGGCAGAGGGGGGUAGAAUUCCACGUGUAGCAGUGAAAUGCGUAGAGAUGUGGAGGAAUACCGAUGGCGAAGGCAGCCCCCUGGGCCAAAUACUGACGCUCAUGCACGAAAGCGUGGGGAGCAAACAGGAUUAGAUACCCUGGUAGUCCACGCCCUAAACGAUGUCAACUAGUUGUUGGGGAUUCAUUUCCUAGUAACGUAGCUAACGCGUGAAGUUGACCGCCUGGGGAGUACGGUCGCAAGAUU
rnacentral:rRNA from 1 species